rnacentral:rRNA from 1 species
GUCUAUGGCCAUGCUACCCUGAACACACCCGAUCUCAUCUGAUCUCGGAAGCUAAGCAGGGUUGGGCCUGGUUAGUACUUGGAUAGGAGACCACCUAGGGAGACCAGGUGCUGUAGGCA